CGUGCGCGCGCGCCGAAUCCCGCAAGGGAACCGGGGAACCACCAACUUGGGGUGAAUCGGGCAUCAUCCGCCGUAUCCGUACGGCCGGUUGACGCGCGUAGGAGACCUUCCCGCUCCGAACCCGUCAGCUAACCCGGUAGGCGAGACGGAAGGAAAGG
rnacentral:sRNA from 2 species